GAAAAUCAAAACAAAAAAGAAGGAUUCUCCAUUUCGAAGUUGAGAAAUAGUUUGUGUUCAUAAGUUAGUGAAAAUUGAGUGCAUUUGGGGCUAAAUUAACGUAAAUUAUAGCGUAUCCCAAAAGGAAAUCUCUGCACACGUCGACUGAAGAACAGCAACGAUUGUCGUACCGUCACAUGGUGCUACCUUGGACGGCGAUGAUUAUCUGAACGGAAAGGAAAGGAGAAGGAAUCGAGGAGGUUCAAGGAAGGAGGAGUAAAUCGCGAGGAGAAGACUAUUUGAUUUUAAAGCUGCUGGAGACAGCUGCUACAAAAAAUUUAGUUUUACUCUGGUUCAUCCGAACAAAAAAAAAAUCAAAUACUGGUUCGAUGAAUCUCAACACGAUGAGCAGCUCCAACCUGUACC